rnacentral:rRNA from 1 species
CUUUAAGUGCGAUCUAAUACAUGCAGUCGAACGAACUCUGGUAUUGAUUGGUGCUUGCAUCAUGAUUUACAUUUGAGUGAGUGGCGAACUGGUGAGUAACACGUGGGAAACCUGCCCAGAAGCGGGGGAUAACACCUGGAAACAGAUGCUAAUACCGCAUAACAACUUGGACCGCAUGGUCCGAGUUUGAAAGAUGGCUUCGGCUAUCACUUUUGGAUGGUCCCGCGGCGUAUUAGCUAGAUGGUGGGGUAACGGCUCACCAUGGCAAUGAUACGUAGCCGACCUGAGAGGGUAAUCGGCCACAUUGGGACUGAGACACGGCCCAAACUCCUACGGGAGGCAGCAGUAGGGAAUCUUCCACAAUGGACGAAAGUCUGAUGGAGCAACGCCGCGUGAGUGAAGAAGGGUUUCGGCUCGUAAAACUCUGUUGUUAAAGAAGAACAUAUCUGAGAGUAACUGUUCAGGUAUUGACGGUAUUUAACCAGAAAGCCACGGCUAACUACGUGCCAGCAGCCGCGGUAAUACGUAGGUGGCAAGCGUUGUCCGGAUUUAUUGGGCGUAAAGCGAGCGCAGGCGGUUUUUUAAGUCUGAUGUGAAAGCCUUCGGCUCAACCGAAGAAGUGCAUCGGAAACUGGGAAACUUGAGUGCAGAAGAGGACAGUGGAACUCCAUGUGUAGCGGUGAAAUGCGUAGAUAUAUGGAAGAACACCAGUGGCGAAGGCGGCUGUCUGGUCUGUAACUGACGCUGAGGCUCGAAAGUAUGGGUAGCAAACAGGAUUAGAUACCCUGGUAGUCCAUACCGUAAACGAUGAAUGCUAAGUGUUGGAGGGUUUCCGCCCUUCAGUGCUGCAGCUAACGCAUUAAGCAUUCCGCCUGGGGAGUACAGCCGCAAGGCUGAACUCAAGGAAGUUGACUGGGGGCCCGCACAAGCGUGGAGCAUGUGGGUUAAUUCGUAGCUACGGCGAAGACGUAUACCUAGUCGUGGACAUACUAAUGCUGGAUCUAUCAGAGUAGAUCGAUCGCCAUCCGUGUACAUUGGAUACCAGGUUCGGUGGCAUGAAUGUCGUCAAGCUACGAAGUCGUGAAACUGUUAGGUAGGUUCAGCAUCCGAGACGCACGAUACG